rnacentral:rRNA from 1 species
GAUGAACGCUGGCGGUAUGCUUAACACAUGCAAGUCGAACGGACUCAUCGGAGUUAGUGGCGGACGGGUGAGUAACGCGUGAGAAUCUGGCUUUGGGUUCGGGACAACUACUGGAAACGGUGGCUAAUACCGGAUGUGCCGAGAGGUAAAAGAGAAAUUGCCUGGAGAUGAGCUAGCGUCUGAUUAGCUAGUUGGUGAGGUAAAGGCUCACCAAGGCAGCGAUCAGUAGCUGGUCUGAGAGGAUGACCAGCCACACUGGGACUGAGACACGGCCCAGACUCCUACGGGAGGCAGGAGUGGAGAAUUACCCGCAAUGGGCGAAAGCCUGACGGAGCAAUACCGCGUGAGGGAAGAAGGUUCUUGGGUUGUAAACCUCUGUUCUUAGGGAAGAACAAAAUGACGGUACCUAAGGAAACAGCAUCGGCUAACUCCGUG